AAGGAUCAUUAUCGAAUAUAAACUUGGGUAGACUGUUGCUGGCUUCUCUUCGAGGAGCAUGUGCACGUUUAUCCUCUUUAUUUUUCCACCUGUGCACCUUUUGUAGGCUUGAAUUAUUAGUGGUUCUAACGUGUCUUUCAAAGGCGCAUAAGAAUUGUUUUGGGACUGCUGUGUUUAAACGCACAUUGUUUAUCAGCUUUCCCUUUUAUUUUCCAAGUCUAUGUUUGUUAUAUACACUCCAGAAAUGUAAUAGAAUGCUGUACUUUUAGGUCAUUCGUACCUAUAAUAAAUCAGUACAACUUUCAGCAACGGAUCUCUUGGCUCUC
rnacentral:misc_RNA from 1 species